rnacentral:snRNA from 13 species
GUAUUAAGUAGAGGUCGGUAAAAUAUUCUACCCAGGUGGAGACUCGCCCUUGCGCUCGGGCGGGUUGAAGCCUGCGAAGAUCCCUAAUCGGGCUCGCUCGGGCGCAUAGUUUUAGCCAGUGGGAGGUCUUCGGAUCAUCCCUU